rnacentral:rRNA from 1 species
UCUAUGAAGAUGAGUAUGACGUGUUCUCUCCCUCUUCUGCGGGGACCAAAGNUGACAGGGUUGGGUGCAUGGUCUGUCCGUUCAGCUCCGGUUGUCCGUGAGAUGUUUGGGGUUUAAGUUCCCGGCCAACGAGCGGCCAACCCCUUUAGUUCUUAUUUAGGUUUGGCCCAAUGCAUUUAAAGGUUUGGGGCCAACUUCUUAGAAUGAGACUGCCGGGUGACCAAACCGGGAGGAAAGGUGGGGAUGACGUCCAAAUCAUCAUGCCCCUUAUGAUCUUGGGCUACACACGUGCUACAAUGGAUCGGUACAAACGGAGCAGCGAAGCCCGCGAGGUCAAGCAGUAAUCCUCUAUAAACCGAUUCUCAGUUCGGAUUGUAGUCUGCAACUCGACUACAUGAAGCUGGAAUCGCUGUAUCGUGAUCAGCAUCUCGGUAUA